rnacentral:rRNA from 1 species
UACGUAGGGUGCAAGCGUUGUCCGGAAUUAUUGGGCGUAAAGAGCUUGUAGGCGGUUUGUCGCGUCUGCUGUGAAAUUUCGGGGCUCAACCCCGAACUUGCAGUGGGUACGGGCAGACUAGAGUGUGGUAGGGGAGACUGGAAUUCCUGGUGUAACGGUGAAAUGCGCAGAUAUCGGGAGGAACACCAAUGGCGAAGGCAGCUCGCUGGGACGGUACUGACGCUGAGACGCGAAAGCGUGGGGAGCAAACAGG